rnacentral:rRNA from 1 species
CUUUUACAAUGAAGAGUUUGAUCCUGGCUCAGGAUGAACGCUAGCUACAGGCUUAACACAUGCAAGUCGAGGGGCAGCAUUUUAGUUUGCUUGCAAACUAAAGAUGGCGACCGGCGCACGGGUGAGUAACACGUAUCCAACCUGCCGAUAACUCGGGGAUAGCCUUUCGAAAGAAAGAUUAAUAUCCGAUAGUAUAUUAAAACCGCAUGGUUUUACUAUUAAAGAAUUUCGGUUAUCGAUGGGGAUGCGUUCCAUUAGUUUGUUGGCGGGGUAACGGCCCACCAAGACUACGAUGGAUAGGGGUUCUGAGAGGAAGGUCCCCCACAUUGGAACUGAGACACGGUCCAAACUCCUACGGGAGGCAGCAGUGAGGAAUAUUGGUCAAUGGACGAGAGUCUGAACCAGCCAAGUAGCGUGAAGGAUGACUGCCCUAUGGGUUGUAAACUUCUUUUAUAUGGGAAUAAAGUAUUCCACGUGUGGGAUUUUGUAUGUACCAUAUGAAUAAGGAUCGGCUAACUCCGUGCCAGCAGCCGCGGUAAUACGGAGGAUCCGAGCGUUAUCCGGAUUUAUUGGGUUUAAAGGGAGCGUAGGUGGAUUGUUAAGUCAGUUGUGAAAGUUUGCGGCUCAACCGUAAAAUUGCAGUUGAAACUGGCAGUCUUGAGUACAGUAGAGGUGGGCGGAAUUCGUGGUGUAGCGGUGAAAUGCUUAGAUAUCACGAAGAACUCCGAUUGCGAAGGCAGCUCACUAGACUGCAACUGACACUGAUGCUCGAAAGUGUGGGUAUCAAACAGGAUUAGAUACCCUGGUAGUCCACACAGUAAACGAUGAAUACUCGCUGUUUGCGAUAUACAGUAAGCGGCCAAGCGAAAGCAUUAAGUAUUCCACCUGGGGAGUACGCCGGCAACGGUGAAACUCAAAGGAAUUGACGGGGGCCCGCACAAGCGGAGGAACAUGUGGUUUAAUUCGAUGAUACGCGAGGAACCUUACCCGGGCUUAAAUUGCAUUUGAAUAAUCUGGAAACAGGUUAGCCGCAAGGCAAAUGUGAAGGUGCUGCAUGGUUGUCGUCAGCUCGUGCCGUGAGGUGUCGGCUUAAGUGCCAUAACGAGCGCAACCCUUAUCUUUAGUUACUAACAGGUGAUGCUGAGGACUCUAGAGAGACUGCCGUCGUAAGAUGUGAGGAAGGUGGGGAUGACGUCAAAUCAGCACGGCCCUUACGUCCGGGGCUACACACGUGUUACAAUGGGGGGUACAGAAGGCAGCUACCUGGCGACAGGAUGCUAAUCCCAAAAACCUCUCUCAGUUCGGAUCGAAGUCUGCAACCCGACUUCGUGAAGCUGGAUUCGCUAGUAAUCGCGCAUCAGCCAUGGCGCGGUGAAUACGUUCCCGGGCCUUGUACACACCGCCCGUCAAGCCAUGAAAGCCGGGGGUACCUGAAGUACGUAACCGCAAGGAGCGUCCUAGGGUAAAACUGGUAAUUGGGGCUAAGUCGUAACAAGGUAGCCGUACCGGAAGGUGCGGCUGGAACACCUCCUUUCU